AUGCCGGUUCUGCCCAACGUGAAGCCGGGAUACCUGCAGGACGAGCUUAGCGCGUCCCCGCCGACCCACUCCGCAUCAUUCGAUGUCACCAUGAAGGAGCUCAGGACCUCCGUUAUCCCCGGCAUGACACACUGGGCUAGCCCCAAUUUCUUCGCCUUCUUUCCCUCCACCAACAGCGCCGCUGCCAUCGCCGGCAAUCUCAUCGCCUCUGCCAUGAACACUGUUGGAUUCACGUGGCAGGCCUCGCCCGCGGCCACCGAGAUGGAGGUUCUCACUCUUGACUGGCUUGCGCAGCUUCUGCGCCUACCCACCACCUUCAUGAACCGCACCAGUACUGGACGUGGCACCGGCGGUGGCGUCAUCCUCGGCACGACCAGCGAGGCAAUGCUCGUCACGCUAGUCGCCGCCCGUGAUGCAGCUUUGCGUCGGAGUGGCUCCGUCGGCGUGUCCCACCUACCACGCUUGGCUGUCUAUGCCGCCGACCAGACCCACUCCACGUUCUUCAAGGCGUGCCGCCUCGCAGGCUUCGACCCCGCCAACAUCCGCUCCAUCCCUACCGGGUCUGAAACUAACUACGGGCUCGACCCAACCAAGCUUCUCAAGGUACUGCAAGCUGAUGUCGACGCCGGUCUCGUGCCCACAUAUGUUUGUGCCACGGUAGGCACCACUUCUUCCAACGCCGUCGACCCAGUGGGGGCCAUCGCUGAUGUUGCCGCCAUGUUCAAUGCGUGGGUCCAUGUUGAUGCUGCUUACGCUGGCAGCGCGUGUAUCUGCCCAGAGUUUCGCCACCAUCUCGAUGGCGUCGAGCACGUGGACUCCAUUAGCAUGAGCCCACACAAAUGGCUUCUCACAUGUCUUGAUUGCACUUGUCUCUACGUCCGCGAUGCUCACCGACUGAGUGACUCGUUGGAGACAAACCCGGAGUACCUCAAGAACGACGCUACCGAGUCUGGCGAGGUCACAGAUCUUAAGGACAUGCAGGUUGGCGUUGGUCGACGCUUCCGUGGGCUCAAACUUUGGAUGGUUAUGCGCACCUAUGGUACCACAAAGCUCCAAGAGCACAUCCGUAGUGACGUCGCCAUGGCUAAGAUGUUUGAAGAUCUUGUCCAUGCCGACAACAGGUUCGAGGUGGUCGUACCGAGGAACUUUGCUCUUGUAUGCUUUAGGAUCAAGCCAAGUGGAUCCAUGACAGAAGAGGAUGCCGAUGAGGCAAACCGUCAACUAAUGGAGAAACUGAACAAGACCGGCCAGGCUUAUCUUGCGCACACGGUGGUUGGUGACAAGUUCGUUCUCCGGUUCGCCAUUGGGUCGUCGCUUCAGGAAGAGAGACAUGUGAGAAGUGCAUGGGACCUCAUCAAGAAGACUACGAGCACCAUAAUGGAUUAA
rnacentral:rRNA from 1 species